AUCUGAUGGUUGGGACAGGUGGAGCACAACCUCUUGAAACGUUCCCAGUAUUCAAACAAAUUCUCCCCAGGCAGUUGUCUAAUUCCACUUAUUUCUUUUCUCACAGCU
rfam:Vigna angularis cultivar Jingnong 6 scaffold73_8, whole genome shotgun sequence.